rnacentral:rRNA from 1 species
AUGGCCGUGGAUGAACCACACCUGGGCGUGCAACGCAUUGCUCGCAGGAUCUGGAGGUAUUGCGAAGAAAAAGAAAAAAAUCGCGCCAGACGGCCCAGCGUCCUCCAACGGGCCGGCGUGCCUGGGCGUGCCGGCCCAUGUAGACUACGUGCCGUGCCUGGGCUGCUAGCUCCCGCCCGUGGGCCGGCACAGCACGGCCCGGUUAUUAUUCGUGCCGAGACGGGCCGUGCCGUGCCAGGCACAUUUACGGCGGGCCGGGCCGUGCCGUGCCGGGCCGGCCCGUUUGGCCAGAUUUUAUACUGCACUAAAUUCACCAAAAUCAACAGCAAAGUUGAGUCAUCGGCACUGCAAUGGAAUCACUACACGCCCAAAGGGCACUACACACGCAGCACCGACGGACUGAACUGGCUCACACUGCGGACGGCACAUUGCGUGCCCAAGUAUUGCAUCCCAUGUCGCCGGAGUAGGCCGUCGUUCUUCCGACGCCGAGGACUGCACUGCACUGCUCGCAGUAAAGGCGAGAAGAGAGGAGGACUGCCGCGAGGGAUGCACGGGGAAGCCCGUGGCGUCGGGCUGCAUGCUGGUGGGAGGAGACGGGAUCCUCGCAAGGAUGGACGUUGGCUGCAGACCCGCGAGAGGACCUUCUUCCUCCCUGCCUCCAGUCCUCUUCCUUUGCUCACCGCCGCCGUGCACGUGUGGCCGCCGUUCGCCGAUGAGAUCCACGCGAGUUCCCACCACCACCAUCAACAUCUAGCACGCGUGGCUCCUCCUCUGCUCGUUCCAUCUGCACAUCGGAGCACAGCCCAAACUGCAGAAGCGCCCCGGAUUUGCGUUCCCAUCUGCACAGCGGAGCACAACCAAAACUCCACGCGAUGCCCUUCCGUACUGCACAAUGUCGUCGGAGCCAUCAAGUGCACAGCCAGGCGCGCUGAACCGCAUCGCGUGCCCCGCGCAUUGCAAGUCCGGGGCGUCUGGGCUGCAAGUGGAGAAGGGGCUGAUUUAGUCUCAAGUGAACUGCAGCAGGGGGACGCGGAGGAGGUCGGUGCUGCGGUGGACGCCGACGGGAGGAGCCCGGGGGAUGAGGUCGGUCCCGCGAAGGAGGUCGCCGGGGCGGGAAUGGGAGAGACUGGAGGAAGGGAAGGCCAUGAGGGCGCCGGGGGCGAGCAGGGAGGGGAGGAGCAUGCGGUUCGUAGGCCACAGAGGGGCGGGGCCGAGGCAGCGAGGGAGGUGGGGGCAGAGCUGCGGGCGUUGGUAGCCAGGGCCCGACGCUGGGCGGCGCGGGUUCAGAGGCUCGUCGACGGGCACGGGAUCUGCACGGCCGCGCAUCACGGGGAGGGGCGCUUGUAUGCUCUAGUUCGAAGGAAGGAGGUGGAGGGGUGGGCCGGUGGCUCGGGGAGGAAGCCGGAGCAGGUUGUGGAAGCUCGGUGGCUCGGGCCCCUCGGCAGCGCGUGGAGGAAGGUGGUGCGGCGGCCCGGGAAAGAGGUGGUGCGGUGGAGGGAGGGAGGUGCUGCGGUGGGGAAGGGGAAGAAGGUGGGAGGAGAUAGGUUGGUGGGCACGAGGAAUCGUGGGAGUGGGAGCAGUGGGGGUGGGUUGAUUGGCUCGAUCCUCUCACUCCCUCUCUUCACCCUUUUUCUCCGGGCCCCACCCACGUGCACUCUCUCUUUUCCUUCUCUCCACACAACGCGUCUGCCUCCCCCGCUCGCCGCCUUCUCCUCUCAUCCUCACCGCGCGCCUGCCUCCCUGCUCGCCGCCUCACUACCUGCUCGCCGCCGUGCUCGUCGCAUCCCCGCAUCCCCGCCUGUGCCUCCUUCUCCGUCCAAGGCCCCGCUGCCCUCGCCGUCCAAGAUGCAGCUGGCCACGGUCGGAGUCACCGGCGACCUCGAGAUCCUCCCCCAGACCGCCGUCGAGCGGAGCAUCGCCUCCUCGGGUGGCGGCAGCGCGUCCUACGACCUGGUGGACCACAUGCCAAAAAGAACUAGGACGGCGGCAACCGCUGUACUCUGCAUCGGCGCGCACGCCGAAGUGCCCAAACGGUCGCCGCCGGACAUCGCGCUCGCGCCUCAGGAAGGGCACGCCGAGGACGGCGCCCCAGCCUACGAUGUCACGCUCGCCGUGUGGGUCGGCCUAGGGUCGAGCUCGCGUGGCGGAGGUGGCCUGGGGUCGAGCUCACGUGGCGGAGGUGGCCUGGGGUCGAGCUCGCGUGGCGGAGGUCGAGCUCGGUGUCCAUUGGGGCGGGAGGAGUGGCCUGGGGUCGUCGCCGGCGAGCUCGAGCUCGUGCGGCCGACAGUGCCCAAAACGUGUCUGUUGUAA